rnacentral:lncRNA from 1 species
UCAUGUUACCUUUGUCUAUUUACUAGUAAAUGUUAGUUUGGAAGUACUGCACAUACUUCUAUUGGCUUUUAAAUUAAGCAUGGUGCUUAGGUUAAACAGCCUUCCUUAAUCUGAUUAGACAUGGAGUCUAGUUCGGUUAUUGAACUAAAAACUGCUUGUGUAGACAUUGGUAUAUUUUUGACGGACUAACCCCUCCAGAAAAACUUUCAAUAUCGAUUUGGGAAGUCCUGAGAUAAACUCACAUCAGAGACGAAGAGAGUGACACAUGAAGUUUAACAAUUUGCACAAGAAGGACAUAGCUCAUUCAUCAUAGAGAGAUGAUCCAUGGAGGGUGCCACAAACACGAUGCACAACCGCUAAGAAAGGAAAGCUUCAACAAGGUGAUACUGUACCAUCACUCUUCAAGCAAGGUAACAUCUUAAGGUACUUGACUAUCACUUUUAUAAGCUUCUCCUUGGUUCUGGCGUUCAUAUAAAUAAAAGAGACAAACAUGUAUGAUUUACAACUCUAGAUUAACCAACCCAACUGAUUCAACAUGUUUAGUCCUUUAAUCCUUGUUCUUAGCACUACCUCCAUGAUCCCACACUCCUAAUCAUAUGAGCUAAAAUGUUACACAUUCAAUCAUUGAGAGAUAUAUAGAAAAAGACAUAUACAUAGAUAGAUUAUCUUUACAUCAGGUUGAGUGAUCUGAUGUGACAAACGUUAUAAGUGCUACACUCAUGAACUUUUCAUCCAUCAACUUUGUCUUGCUCACUAUGCUUAGGGUUAGAGAAGAACAAAUACACUUUAGGUUCUGUUGGUGUUUUCCACCAACAGGACCCAUGCACUUGAUCUCUGCCUUGUCACUAUGAGCAGGUACACUUUGAGCAAAACACGGAGGAGUUUUAUAACUCUCAGACUCUACCAAGUGAAGGACCUGGAUCUAUGAGCACAAACACACUGAGCAGGUUACUACCAACGCCGCACUUCGAACUGCUGGGCAAACGAAGAGGUGCAGACGUUAAGGUCCGCACCUGAAUCAAAUGACGCACCUGAAGAAUGAACACGGUGAGAAGUCUUGUUAAGAAGACUUAAAACAUUGAACCCUCGCCGAAAGGUAAGAUCGGUAGUUAUUCAUAUUUAUCCUUUCUGCAUUCCCUUUUUCCUUUAAUUAUUUACUUUCCUUAAAUAGAUUAUUAGUUAAUCAUGCUAUCUUGAAAAGAAAAUAAAAAUGUUAAAAAAAUACUAAGCCCCAUAUGAGUAUACGAGUGGCAUAAAACCCAUAAGUACCUUCACUGUGGUGGCAUAAAAAUAAAAUAAAUAUUUCUUUUCUGCUUUAUAAAAUAAAAAUAAAAAAACAGGGAGUAAUAUUUAUUGAGGAAGCUCAACAUGAUGAAGGCUAGAUAUUUAUGCUAACACUUAAUUAAUUCCACAAGCUUUGUUGUCUAUUUGAGCUCCACAGAACUUAAGAAUCAAGAAGACUAGCAGACGGAGAAUAUUCUAAUCGCUGUCAGAAUGCUGCUGACUUCCAAAUACACCUCUGCCACCUGCUAGCUACAUCAAGAGAAAUUACGUCAAAAUUCAGCUUGGGGGAGAGCACCCCCAUUUAUCUCGCUAAGUAUUUAUACCUAUCUUUAUACUUAUAUUAUAUUAGAAUACUAAAAUACAUAAACUAUGAAAAACCAAAUAAAGAUUUUGUGCUUAUAUAUAUAUCUUUUGCUUAAUGUGUUUAAUAAAUAAAUAAAGUGGCUAUGCUAAUCUGAAUCGUAAUAAUAAAACUCUAGCAUGGAUAUGAUGAAUAGUUUCUCUGCCUAGUUUGCACAUUUGAAGUUCUCUCUCAAGUUUAGACAUAACUGUUAUAAUUUAAUGCUUGCUCUAGAUCUAAACUUGUGGGAUGAAAACUUGAUCUGAAAUCUAAGUUGUUAACGGAUAUGAUAUGGGAAGGUUGAGCUGCUGUUUAUCUGUUCCUAGAGAUGCUAGAAUUCGGGAGAAUCUUAUCUUUGAAAAAUCUUUAAAAUAUUGCAUGAUGAGUUCCUGUAUGAUGAGAGUUUAAAUUCCUACCACAGCCAUAUAUACAUGCUUGCUAGACUUUGAGCCACACAUUUAUUAUUUACUGCUUAUGAGCAUUGAGUGUGGUCAAGCUGUGUAGACCCUUAGGAGCUUGUCAUGUGGUUAAAUCAAGAUUCACUUGCACGUUCACUCAUAUAUGCUACUUCUACUUCGGAAGUACCAUCCACAUAUAUCCAUCCAUGUCCAUCUCCAGAACCACCCAAAAAUAUUCUACUCCUAAUCCGGGAGAGAAUAGCCAAAAAUAUUUCUGUUUUCUCUUGUGAAAUAAAUGCUCAAGUUAUCUUGCUACUACCACUUGCUAUAUUAUCUCAAGAGAUGAGUGCUCUGAAAAAAAAGAGAAAAGAGAAAAAAAAUAUAAACGAGGAAAUAAAAAGGGGCAAGUGCCCGAAACCUCGAAAGAAAGAAAAAGUGAGACGAGAGGUAAAAAUGGACAAGUGUCCGACAGUAGAAUUAGGGGUACAAGAUACCCACCUGAGAGGAAAGAAAAAGAAGAGCAUCUCAUUCUCCUUAUAAAGUUUCAAAAAGCAAGGAAGGUAUGUAUCCCGUCAAAAGAGCAAAAGUAGAAUCAGACUUUCACCAUUGUUAUCACCAUCAUCACCAUACACCAUUCAUUCGCCACACAUGCACAUCUUGAUUUGGCUUAUUGAUUUGUUUCUUUGGAUCCAUGGUUUGACUAUACAAUAAAUGUCUUGUAAGUAUGUAUACUUUAUCUCCCACCUAUGAGCUCCAGAUAUUAAAGCCUUAUUAGAGUAGGGUGAGAGAGAAGGCAAUGUCACUAUGCCUUAUACCACAAAUACCACAUAUCUUGAGAGAAGGCAUAUACCAUCACUGCCUUGGUAAGGAUCCAGAAAUACCACAAAAGAGAGAUUUAGAGAGUCAUACAAGGAAUCUCUGAGUUUUAUUUGAAAAUCUGCAAAAACUCCAGAGCUAUAGCUGAUCAAGAAUAAGAGACAUGGCACUUGGCUAGACUGUUCUAUCUUUUAACUACUCAAGACAGAAGUGACGGUUACAAGUCCCAUGGUGAAAGGUAAAGUAAGUAAGUUUUAGUUCUUGACAGUUUACUCUAAUUUAGAGAUGAGAUCUUAUUUAAAAGCAUGUGUACCGUCAAAUUUUUAAGAUAUUGCAACAACUUCUGAUCCAUUGCUGAGAUUAUCCUUGCUUAGGGACGAGCAAGAGUUAAGCUUGGGGGAGUUUGUUGACGGUCCUUAAGUAUCACAUUUAAUUAUCAAAUAAACAAAGAAAAGGAUUCAAAUGAAAUCAACAUCUAGACUUAGGGUUUUAUCUGACAGAAUUCCAUGAGUUUUGGGGUUUGUCUAUUUCUGCAGGGGGUUAUCAGGAAAUACGGAAGAAAGGCCCACACGUCGGGAUUACAUAGAGAUAUUAACGUACCGCGCAAUUAUCUUACAUCUAGAAGACUCCAGAAGCCACAGGAAGGAAGCGGAGGCCGAACGGGGCCAGAGGCAGGGCGCCCGCCCUCCUGCCCUGGACGCCCGCCCACCUCUGGAGCCCAAUCGGGACUCUUUCUCUCGGGAGAUCUCCACCGACCUAAAGGAUCAAGAAUAACCGUUCAAUCAAUGUCGGUUUGAUCCGACGGCCCAGGUUCACUUGAGGGGACUAUAAAACCAGACCCCCUGGCCCCUGGAGGAGGCACCCCUUGAUCAUUAAUCAUUAUUCAUAGACAGAGCAAAAGCUAGGGUUUAGAGAUGAGAGCUCUCCUCUCUUCUCUAAACUAGAGUAGAUCUAGAUAGUAGCAAGAUGGAGAGCGAAGGAGGAUUAGAGGAGAGGCCGGCCUGUCGGUUCUUCCUCCGGUUGUACUUCGUCAUGAUCAAGCUCUAAUCAAGCUUGCUCAUGGGAUGACUCUGGUAAUCUACUUCUAAUUCAUUAUGCAAUUACUAAUUAUGUAUGUUCUGGUUCACAACUCUUUUGAGUAUUCUAAUCUAUAGGACGCUAUAGGUUAGAGUUGUAGUAUAGGUGUAAGCGUGGUGCUUAGACCUAGAUUACUUGUGGAUAUCCCCUGUCUAGCUGGAUCGUGUGGUAGGCCGCGUAGAUGACAGUUACGUUGGUCCUCUGUAGUCCACCUCUCGUUAGCAUGACGGGUAGGGUUUAUCGGCCUAAGGAUAAGCAUCCUUUGUGGUGUACUCUUAUCACGUGGUUCGUCCCAGACAUAGACAUACCCCUUUGAAGUAGAGAAACCAUAGUUAUCCUCUCUAUUCUGCUACCAUCGCCCAUAUACUAGAUUGCUCUACUCUCUAUUCCCAUAUUAUCACCCAUUGUUAUCUUACCUUUAAUAUUAUUCGAUUCUACCAUCUUUCCUAUUUACACCUAUGUACUUAUCCUGGUUAAGUUAGAGCGUAGUUGGUUCUCCCGUUUCCCUGUGGAUACGAUAAAACCUUUAACCGGGUAAAAGCUUCAACGGUAUCCGUGCGCUUGCGGAUUAUCUGUGUGCGUAUAAAUACCAUAGUACACUCUAGUGCCAUGCUGGGGAUGACAACCUAGUAUUCAAGUUGUGUUAGCAAGUGUCAACAAUGAUUGGUUGGACAUACCUUGUACUUGCUUAUCAUUUAUCUGAUCUUCUUGUUCCAAUCCUGGAAAGGUUAGUGACAAGAAUACCCGAAGGAAUAUUUUUACAAUUAUCCUUAUAUGCUCAAUACACAAGGUAAUGUUGCAAAUAAUUAAAAACUCAUGUUAUGAUCUGAUCAGUGCUUAUUUUAGGACACCAAGCUUGUCCUUGGGAAACCAUCAAUUUAUUUCGGCGAAGUGGUUUCCGUUCCAACGCUGACCUAAAUCAAGAUCAACUCAACGAGAUCUGCAAUAUUUAUUAUAGACAUAUGCAUCGACAACUGCCCUUUUAAAGUUUUUAUAAAUAGAAAGGAAGAGGGGGUUGGAGAUCUCAAAUGUGGUGAUGUUGGAGAGACCAAUAGAUUGGGAAGAUGUUGCAUAUGAGCAUGGAGUAAACGAAGUGGCUAUGAAAUAAAUUCUAUGCUCAUUAAUGUUAUCUUCGUCUCCAAUCUGAAUGUUCGGAGUUUCUCCUAGAUUGGUCUCACCUAUGUCCUCUUCUGUAGUUGGAUGAACCUCAUCUUCAAAGGGAGUCAAGAACUCACCAUUUGAAAUUGAGCCAAAGUCAUAAUCCAUUAAGGCUUCUUCCUUAUCCAUCCAUUCUACACAUUCUAGCCAUUUAGAACUUGUGAUCAGGAAAGGGGAGGUGUUAGAAUUUUCUAUAUGGUUUGGCUCUCCUUCUAUGACAUUACUUGACAUGUCAUCCUCAUGGUCUUUAUGACUCCUAUGGUUUGAUCGUCUUGAUGGAUUGUUAGGAUUAUCAUGAGACUUAAAAGGAGAAGGAUAAGAGGUGUCUCUAAGGUCAAGGAUGGAUUUAAAAUUUGUGAACAUGGAAGGGGAGAAGAUAGAAUCUUCUAUAUGGUUUAGCUCUCCUUCACUUGAUAUGUCAUCCUCGACUUCUUCAUAACAGGAACCAGGACAUUCUCUAAAAGAACCAUUAUUGCAAGGAUUUGAAUUAUCCCUGCUUGAAGGUCUCUUAUGAGACCAGAAGUCUAAACCAUCAGCAUCUGAAAGAUUUAAGGUCGGAAUUCCUUCCUCCCUUGGAGAAUUUGGGGGUAUUGAUGGUUUAGGAUCGAUAGCUAAAGUUUGGGAUUGAAGUGGUUGUGAUCUGGCUAUCGAAACUUCUUCUUUUUGUCUAGGAACUGGUUCUGUCUCUUUCUCAAGGAUAUAAUAGCUUGGAGACUUUCUGCUCAUUAAAUCAAUCAAAUUCUAAGCUUCACUAGCGGAUAGGUGGUGGAAAGAUCCUCCAGAGGCCGCAUGAAGGGUUUGCUUAUUUUCCCUACUAAGGCCCUCAAAAAAGUGUAUUAGAAGAACUUCUUCUGGAAUAGAAAGCUUUGGGCCAGUAAGAGUAAGGCUAAUGAAGCGGUCCCAUGAUUUGCCAAGAGAUUCUUCUUCCAGUUGUCUAAAAGAAAGAAUCUCAUGCCAAAGUUCCACCACUUUGGAGAUUGGAAAAUAUUUAAAAAGAAAACUAUUAUGUAACUCCUUCCAAUCUCCAUGAACACUCCCUAUUUUGAGUUUGUACCAAUGUCUAGCUUUUCCCGUUAGAGAGAACGGAAAGAGCUUCCAUUUAAGGGUCUCAUCGGACAUGCCUUCUAUGCGAAGGAGGUCACAGACUCUAUAAAACUCUCUUAGGUGUGUGUAUGGGUUUUCCUCACCUUCUCCUGAGAAAGGUUGUUUUUGAACAAAUUCUAUGUAUUCGGGGUCUAUCUCAAAACUAGAUGCUAUGAUAGGCUUUGAAGAUUUUGGUGGUUCGAGAUGUGUGCCCGUAGGUCUACGAAAUUCAUAGAUAGACAUGUUUGAAUUCAUGAUAGACCAGAGAUCAAGGAUUAGAUAAGAAGAAAGAUUAGCAGAGAUGAGGCAAAGGAUAAAAGGAAAAAAUAUAUAUUUUUUUAUUUUUUUUAGAAAAUGAUUAAGCUAGUUCGUAGUCAACUCAGCAACCGUUUCCCCGGAAACGGCGCCAAAAAUGCUUGUUGACACUUGCUAACACCACUUCAAUACUAGGUUGUCAUCCCCAGCAUGGCACUAGAGUGAACUAUGGUAUUUAUACGCACACAGAUAAUCCGCAAACGCACGGAUACCGUUGAAGCUUUUACCCGGUUAAAGGUUUUAUCGUAUCCACAGGGAAACGGGAGAACUGAUCUACGCUCUAACUUAACCUAGAUAGAUAGAUAGGUGUAAAUAGGAAAAAUGGUAGAAUUGAAUAGGAACAAUAUUAAAGGUAAGAUAACAGUGAGUGAUAAUAUGGGAAUAGAGAGUAGAGCAAUCUAGUAUAUGGGCGAUGGUAGCAGAAUAGAGAGGAUAACUAUGGUUUCUCUACUUCAAAGGGGUAUGUCUAUGUCUGGGACGAACCACGUGAUAAGAUUACACCACAAAGGAUGCUUAUCCAUAGGCCGAUAAACCCUACCCGUCCUGCUAACGAGAGGUGGACUAUAGAGGACCAACGUAACUGUCACCUACGCGGCCUACCACACGAUCCAGCUAGACAGGGGAUAUCUACAAGUAAUCUAGGUCUAAGCACCAUGUUGACGGUCCUUAAGUAUCAAAUUUAAUUAUCAAAUAAAUAAAGAAAAGGAUCCAAAUGAAAUCAACAUCUAGACUUAGGAUUUUAUCUGACAGAAUUCCACGAGUUUUGGUGUUUGUCUUUUCUGCAGGGGGUUAUCAGGAAAUAUGGAAGAAAGGCCCACACGUCGGGAUUACGUAAAGAUAUUAACGUGCUGCGCAAUUAUCUUACAUCUAGAAGACUCCAGAAGCCACGAGACCGAAGCGGAGGCGAAACGGGGCCUGACCCAGGGCACCCGCCCAGUUGGUCAGGGCGCCCGCCCUGCCCCUGAGUCCAAUUAGGACUCUGCUUUGCGGGAGAUUUCCACCGACCUAAAGGAUGAAUCUAAACCAUACAAUCUAUGUCGGUUUGAUCCAAGGGCCCAUAUUCACUUGAAGGAACUAUAAAACCAGACCCCCUGGCCCCUGGAGGAGAGAGCCUCUCAACCCUAAUUUAUUGUUCCAUCAAGGGAGAAGAAGCCUCUGAUCAAGAUUAGAGCCACCACAUCAAUUAGAUAUCUAGAUUAGCAUAGCUACAUAGGAUUAGAACUAGAAGGAGUCAAUCUUCGAUUGGUUUCCGGAUCUGUCAAGAGGAUUCUUGGUAAUUCUCUAAUUGUGCUUCUAAUUGCUUUCUAAUUAUCUUUGUUCUUCAAUAUUAUGAAUAUGAAUUUGUUCUACUUCAAUAUAUUGCUUAUGACUUUGCUCUACUUGCUUAUAUUCAAGAUUAUAUUGUUCUUAGUUUAUCAUAGUUAUGUACUUGGCUUAGUUAGAUUCGAUCUAUAUACAUGCUUAGGAUCGUAUAGCGUUUAUCCAUCGGAUCCAUGGGUAAAUGAUAGAUAUUGUGUAGGCAUGGUGCUUAUACCGUAUUUGUCUGCGAUUGUACCCAAUAUGCCAGAUCAUGGGGUGGUUCGUGAUAGUGACAGCUUCAUUGAUUCUUAUAUAGUCCCCCUCUCGUGUAUUGGGCUGGCAGAGCAACAUUAUUACAGGGGAGUGAUUGCUAUGUUUCUCAUAUUCCUUGCUAAUAUCACUAUGCAUGGGCGUAGUCUUGUCUCGCAAUGAUUGCUAAGUAUGCUUGCACUAACUAUGAUAUGCUAGACUAUAUAGUUGAGAGUAACUUAGGGAAUAUUCUUGUAGUUCGUUCUAAUACCAUGCUAAUGACUUUCUAGAGUAUCUAAUUGAGGUGCUUAUCAUAUUUAUUAUGUGGCUAGAUCAGAUUAGUUAUCCUUGUCACUAUUAUUAUUUCAUAUAUCUUUUAUGUGACACUUAUCCCUGUAUGAAGAGUUAGAUAUAAUGUUCUCAAUUAUACAUGCAAUGAUAGAUGCUCAAUCUUAUAUUCUAUUCUGUAAUCAAUAGUGAUGAUUGCUAAUCCCUUCCCAGUGGUAAAAAUAUAAAUAACGAUACCUGGAAUACUUCCCGGUUAAAAUGCUGCAUCGGUAUUAAUCUGUGCGCUUGUAGAUCCCAUUCAUUAUUUAUUUAGAAGAGCAAUUGCAUAUUUCAAUACCGCAUCUCUUAUAUCAUGCUGGGGAUGACAACUUGGCUUAAGUGGUGUGAGGGAUAGGUUUGGCAUUUUUGGCACCGUUACUAGAUUUAGAGAACUUAGUCUACUUUUGGUAAUGAUGUUAAGAAUACCCAACAAGCAUAUUUGGCGCCGUUGCCGGGGAAGGUUGAUUACUAAUCAGGAAUGGAAUAAAAGAUUUUGAGUUAUCAUUCGCAUCACUAAUAUGAUUGAGCUUAUCUAUUCUCUCAUACAGUUUUACCCCGAUAUUUUUCUAUUUUAUCUUAUGCAGGGGAAGGUAUGAAUAGAAGACAUCUUCCAGGAAAUUUUGUUGACAACCCUGAAGCAUUAUUCAAGAAGAUGAGAGCCAAGCUAAAGAAAUAAUCAACAUUUUAGCAAGAAGCUUCAUCCAAUCAAGAAGAUCACCGGAACUUGUCUUCAGAGUUCGAAGCCAUGGCGAACAAAUCAAUCCGUGAGUUCUUAGCUCCCACUACGGACAACAUCCGCACUGGACCUGCUGCAGAGAUCGAUGGCAACUUUGAGCUCAAGCCUGGACUUAUCAACAUGGUGCAAUCCAACCAGUUCUGUGGGAAGGCACAUGAAGAUGCUAGUGCUCAUUUACAACACUUCCUGGAGAUUUGCAACACAUUCACCAUAUCAGGAGUUUCCAAAGAUGCUAUACUACUUCGCCUCUUCCCAUUCUCACUGUUAGGAAGAGCGAAGCAGUGGUUCUACGCUACAAAGGAGAAGAAUACUACGUGGGCACUCUGCUCAACAAACUUCCUGGCUAAGUUCUUUCCCAUGGGCAAGACCAAUGCUCUCCGUGGGAAGAUUACAAGUUUUCAGCAACAAAAUGAUGAAUCUAUUCCAGAAGCAUGGGAGCGCUUUCAAGACUACAUCCUAGAAUGUCCCCAUCAUGGAAUGGAGAGUUGGCUAUUGAUGCAGACGUUUUAUCAUGGGCUCGGCAACAAUGCCCGAGAGACCAUGGAUGCUGCAGCUGGAGGAGCAUUCUUAUCACUUACUAUACCACAAGCCACAGCUCUUGUGGAGAAGAUGGCGUCCAAUCAAAGCUGGAAUGAAGAGAGGACCCAGACACGCAAGAGAGGUGGAGGUAUGCAUCAGCUGAAGGAGGUAGACAUGCAGUCUGCAAAGCUAGACCUGCUCAUGAAGAAGCUCAAUGAUAGAGCUGGAGACAAGAAAGAAGUUAUGCACACCUACGACUCUCACAUGACUUAUGAGGAGUGUGGAGACACUGGACACUCAGGCAACCACUGCCCUGAGAUACUUGAGGAUGUGAACUACAUCAACAACAACUACUACUACUACUACAACCGUCCUCAACAAAAUCAAGGUUGGAAUCAACAGAGGCCUAACUACUCAGGUAAUUAUCAAGGUAACAAUUCUUACAAUAAUAAUUUUCCACCUUUGAGAGAGUUAGUGUCUAAUCAAGGAAAGCUAAUGGAUAACCUAUCUAAGAAAUUGGCAUCUAAUGAUAAAAUGCUAGAAAAUAUAAAUAAUAGAAUGGAUAAUUUUUCUACUGCCAUCAAGAAUCAAAUUAGCUUUAAUAAAAUGAUUGAAUCUCAGUUAAAUCAAAUAGCUGCUGCUGUUCCUACUACUAACCCCGGUAUACCAUCACAACCGGAAGGAUUAGAAUCUGCAAAUCUUGUAGACAUGUUUGAUGCAGGUAAUUGGAGUAACCCCGUCAAUGAAUUCUCUACUGACCUUCUGCUGGUCAAGAGUGGAGAUCCAGGACGCCCCGUCAUCCCGAUCUCCAUCGGCAUGGUGGACAUUCUAGAAGCACUCUGUGACUUUGGCUCCAGUGUCAACAUUAUACCCAGGGUACUCUAUGAAAAAUUCUUUAAAUAUCCUUUAUUAGAGACAACCAUGUGUUUGCAAUUUGCAGAUCAGACGAUAACUUUUCCAAAAGGAAUAUUGAAGAACCUUUGUGUCCGAGUUGGUACCUUGUAUGCCCUAGCAGACUUCGUAGUAGUAGAGACCGGAAAUGAUGAGAGAGCACCCAUCAUCUUAGGGAGGCCAUUCUUGAACACCACGGGAGCUAUCAUCUACGCCAGUGCUGCCAAGAUCAGUUUCUACGUCAAAGGGAGGAAGGAGACAUUUUUCUUCAAGAACAAGACUACACAAAUUCCAGAUCAAUCCAGACGUGAAUCAAGGAAGAGGACCAAUAGGAGGAACAGGAACAAGCAAGUGUGGACCGAGUCAGCUAAGAUGGUCACUGUAGUUCAUGGAGGCCAAGAUCACCAACUUAAGUCACCGUGUUUGACCAAGAAGGACGACCCAGGAAUGCCAAGCAUUUACUGCUCCAUAAAUGGAUACAACUUCUACAAGACAUUUUGUGACACCGGAUCAGGCGUCAACAUAAUGGCCGCAGUCACCUAUCGGCUCUUGUUCGGGACCAUGCCCCUAAGACCAACAUACAUUCAGCUCCAGAUGGCAGAUCAGACAUUUCGAGAAGUUAAAGGAAUAGUAACUGAUGUCCCAGUCAAAAUAGACGAUCACUUUGUCUACACAGACUUUCAAGUUAUUGACAUGGGAGAAGAUGAAUACGAUCCACCCAUCAUCCUUGGAAGACCGUUCCUCGGCACCGUCAAAGCAAUUAUCUACAUUGGAACCGGAGAAGUCCAUAUGCACUUCCCCUCAGAGAAGGUACGCCGUUAUUUUACUGACCCUAACUAUAUUGUUAAAGAAUCUAAGCAGGUCAGAAAGAGACGCAACCGCAACCAGAGGAGGCAGAUCAUCAAGGACGGAUGGGCAGACUAUGAAGGAGAAGUUGUAAGAUCAGAAGACGUUGAGUUUAAACAGAAUUAUCCAGAGGAGAUUGAAGCACCGAGUCAGGUAUAGAAAAUGAAGAUAACUAUACAAGAAGAGGAGGCGCUGCCGGAAGUACCGACUACGCCACCCAACGAACCUCAGGACGAUUGAAAAAAUGGAGAGUCCCGUUCGGUGGACUUAAAAACACCGAACGCCUUGCCAAGAGGUAAACUUGGUAGUUAUCCUUUCCCUUUCAAUUAUUUUAAAUAGUUUACUUAGUUAAUCAUGUUCGUACUAUCUUAAAAAGAAAAUAAAAAUAUGAGAAAAACAGUAAGCCCCAUGUGAGUAUACGAGUGGCAUAAAACCCAUAAGUACAUUCACUGUGGUGGCAUAAAAAUAAAAUAAAUAUUUUUCUGCUUUAUAAAAUGAAAAUAUAAAAACAGGGAGUAAUAAUUAUUAAGGAGUCUCAACAUGAUAAAGGCUAGAUAUUUAUGCUAACACUUAAUUAGUUCCACAAGCUUUGUUGUCUAUUUUAGCUCCACAGAAUUUAAGAAUCAAGAAGACUAGCAGACGGAGGACAUUCUAAUCGCUGUCAGAAUGCUGCUGACUUUCAAAUACACCUCUGCCGCCUGUUAGCUACAUCAAGACAAAUUACGUCAAAAUUCAGCUUGGGGGAGAGCAUCCCCAUUUAUCCCGGUAAGUAUUUCUAUCUAUCUUUAUACUUAUAUUAUUUUAGAAUAUAAAUAUACAUAACUAUGGAAAACCAAAUAAAGAGUUUAUGCUUAUAUAUAUACAUAUAUAUAUAUAUAUAUCUUUUGCUUAGUGUGUUUAAUAAAUAAAUAAAGUGGCUAUGCUAAUCUGUAUCUAAAUAAAACUUAAGCAUGGAUAUGAUGAAUAGUUGCUCUGCCUAAUUUGCACAUUUUAAGUUCUCUCUCUCAAGUUUAGAUAUAACUGUUAUAAUUUAAAGCCUGCCCUAGACCUAAACUUGUGGGAUGAAAACUUGAUCUAAAGUCUAAGUUGUUAACGGAUAAGAUAUGGGAAGGUUGAGCUGCUGUUUAUCUGUUCCUAGAGAUGCUAGAAUUCUGGAGAAUUUUAUCUUUGAAAAUCUUUUAAAAUGUUGCAUGAUGAGUUCCUGUAUGAUGAGAGUUUUAAAUUCCUACCACAGCCAUAUAUACAUGCUUGCUAGACUUUGAGCCACACAUUUACUAUUUACUGCUUAUGAGCAUUGAGUGUGGUCAAGCUGUGUAGACCCUUAGGAGCUUGUCAUGUGGUUAAAUCAAGAUUUCACUUGCACGUUUACUCAUAUAUGCUACUUCUACUCCGGAAGUACCAUCCACAUAUAUCCACCCAUUCCAUCUCCAAAAUCACCCAAAAAUAUUCUACUCCUAACCCGGGAGAGAAUAACCAAAAAUAUUUCUGUUUUCCCUUGUGAAAUAAAUGCUCAAGUUAUCUUGUUACUACCACUUGCUAUAUUAUCUCAAGAGAUGAGUGCUCUAAAAAAAGGAGAAAUACAAGGAAAUAAAAAGGAGCAAGUGCUCGGAACCUCGAAAGAAAAGAAAAAAAAGUGAGACGAGAGGUAAAAAUGGACAAGUGUCCGACAGUAGAAUUAGGGGUACAAGAUACCCACCUGAGAGAAAAGAAAAAAAAGAAGAGCAUCUCAUUCUCCUCAUAAAGUUUCAAAAAGCAAGGAAGAUAUGUAUCCCCUCAAAGAGCAAAGUAGAAUUAGACUUCCACCACCAUUGUUUUCACCAUUGUUAUCACCAUCAUCACCAUACAUCAUUCAUUCGCCACACAUGCACAUCUUGAUUAAACUCAUUGGCUUGUUUCUUUGGAUCCAUGGUUUGACUAUGCAAUACAUGUCUUGUAAGUAUGUAUACUUUAUUUCCCACCUAUGAGCUCCAGAUAUUAAAGCCUUAUUAGAGUAGGGUGAGAGAGAAGGCAAUGUCACUAUGCCUUAUACCACAAAUACUACAUAUCUUGAGUGAAGGCAUAUACCAUCACUGCCUUGGUAAGGAUCCAGAAAUACCACAAAAGAGAGACCUGAGAGAAUCAUACAAGGAAUUCUGAGUUUUAUUUGAAAAUCUGCAAAAAACCCCAGAGCUAUAGCUGAUCAAGAAUAAGAGACAUGGCACUUGGCUAGACUGUUCUAUCUUUUAACUGUUCAAGAUGGAAGUGACGGUUAUAAGUCCCAUGGUGAAGGUAAAGUAAGUAAGUUUUAAGUCUUGACAGUUUACUC